rnacentral:rRNA from 1 species
UUUUAUUUGAGAGUUUGAUCCUGGCUCAGGAUGAACGCUGGCGGCGUGCCUAACACAUGCAAGUUGAGCGAUUUACUUCGGUAAAGAGCGGCGGACGGGUGAGUAACGCGUGGGUAACCUACCCUGUACACACGGAUAACAUACCGAAAGGUAUGCUAAUACGGGAUAAUAUAUUUGAGAGGCAUCUCUUGAAUAUCAAAGGUGAGCCAGUACAGGAUGGACCCGCGUCUGAUUAGCUAGUUGGUAAGGUAACGGCUUACCAAGGCGACGAUCAGUAGCCGACCUGAGAGGGUGAUCGGCCACAUUGGAACUGAGACACGGUCCAAACUCCUACGGGAGGCAGCAGUGGGGAAUAUUGCACAAUGGGCGAAAGCCUGAUGCAGCAACGCCGCGUGAGUGAUGAAGGCCUUCGGGUCGUAAAACUCUGUCCUCAAGGAAGAUAAUGACGGUACUUGAGGAGGAAGCCCCGGCUAACUACGUGCCAGCAGCCGCGGUAAUACGUAGGGGGCUAGCGUUAUCCGGAUUUACUGGGCGUAAAGGGUGCGUAGGCGGUCUUUCAAGUCAGGAGUGAAAGGCUACGGCUCAACCGUAGUAAGCUCUUGAAACUGGGAGACUUGAGUGCAGGAGAGGAGAGUGGAAUUCCUAGUGUAGCGGUGAAAUGCGUAGAUAUUAGGAGGAACACCAGUUGCGAAGGCGGCUCUCUGGACUGUAACUGACGCUGAGGCACGAAAGCGUGGGGAGCAAACAGGAUUAGAUACCCUGGUAGUCCACGCUGUAAACGAUGAGUACUAGGUGUCGGGGGUUACCCCCUUCGGUGCCGCAGCUAACGCAUUAAGUACUCCGCCUGGGAAGUACGCUCGCAAGAG